GUGUGAGCUGGAGCUGCCUGGCCAGAGGGGCCCAGCUAAGGAGAGAGCAGGAGCCUGAGGGGCCAGAGGAGCAGCCAGGGAGCUGAGCAGUGCCGAGGCAGAGUGGGGCUGGGGCUGGGUGCGGCAAUGAUCAGUGGGUCAGGGAAAUGUCCAGUGUGGAGAGAGCACCCCGGAGCGGGAACACCCUAGCACCUGUCCUAAGUGACCAUGACAAGGUGGGGGGUCAAGCCCCCCAGGAAUCCUGGGCCCAGCCUUGUUGGGGUUAUGAAGACUCUGCCAGACAGGAGAGUGGAAGGGGAGUCCUCAAGGGCAGGGAGGCCUCUGGGUAAAGUGGGAGCGAGGACUCAGAUCCUUUUGCUAGCCCACUUCACCGGGAUAGUGUAUAAGCCAGGAAAGUUCCCCAAAAUAGCGGGACCAUUCCCCUGCUUACACCAGCUCUGCCAGACUCCCUGUGUGACUGGGAGCAAAUCCAUCUCUGGGCUUCACUCCCCAUCUGUGAAACGGGGAGAAUAAUUCUGCCCUGGCUCAGUUAUUGAGACUGGAAGCUCACAUGGGCAGAGCCUAUGUCUGUGCAGGGCCUGGCAUGGUGCGGCCUAUGUGGGUACCACAGUAAUGCAAAUCCUACCGAUGUAAGCAAGUCCCAUAGCUCUGGCUUUCCUAUAGAGGCCCUGACACUAGCCUGAGAGCCCGCAACUGCCUGGCUCAAAGGUGUGAAGCUCCUGUCUUUCUAGUGCAGAAGCUCCUUUCAACUUACACAGGAGCAGCGGCUCGUCAGCGGCCCUGUGAAAUGUUCAGCUGCCGGGCAUCUGCAGUGAACUCUGGGCUGCUCCGGGCCAGGAGAGAGGAGCAGUGCAGGUGGGGGGUUGGUCUGCAUCCCUGCUCCCAUCGCCAAACCCUUCUGACUUCAAAUGGCCGUCCCAGAGCCCCCACCCCAGUGACACAGACCUUCCUGGAUUCAUCCUGCCCCCUAGAGCAGUGCUUCUCAAGCUAUCUGAUGUGGGGGACCGGCAAUUUUUUUUUUCCAAUGUGCCAGGGACAGGUGCCAUAUUAUUAUCCUAUUCGAUGCUCUUAUGAGGAAACUCGCCACGCACCGGCAGCCGAUGGCUCGCGAACUGGCACCGGUCUGCGGACCACCACUUUGAGAAGCACUGCCCUAGAGUACAGGCAACAGCAUCCCUGCUCUCAGGCCCUCCCCAGCAGCUGUCACCCUUUCAGAGCCAGUGCGCACAGACCAGUCACUUCCCAGCAGCUGCCUCAGUUUGAGCCUCAGCCCAUUCUCUACUUAUGUUUGUAACCCUUUCAUAGCCAGAACACAUGCAUGAAUUGUGCCUCCCGCACAGGUGUGUGUGACCAUCUCAGUGCCAGCAUCAUUCCAGGCUGAAUUCCCAGCACCACACCCCCAAGCUCCCCUAGCAAGGUAUGCACCUGCACCGUGCAGACAUCACACCCGCACGCAGCCAUAUCCUAUAUCCCACCCCCUGCGGUGACGCUGUUCACUGAGAGCCCUAAGGUAUGGCUCAGAUUGUUCCUUCCAAUGGGCAUUGCUCUGCACCUAUCAGCACUGUCGUUCACCUCCCACCGUGCUGCUCAAGCACCUCACUUGGGCUGGUCCCUCUGGAGCUCCUCUGUCUUCCCCAGUCAUGGGCACAGCAGGGCUAGGCAGUACCAUCAGGAGCAGAGAUGAGGGCCUCUCCAUCCUGCCUGUCUGAGCACUGCCCUGUGCCCAGGCUAAAGGGGUUAGCCUAGGCAGAGCUGUUGUUUCCUCCAAACGGAUUUGUGCUGGCUUUUGGGGUACCAGAGCCCCUCAGAUACCAUUUUAAUGGUUCGUUUGGGGCACUGGGACUAGCAUUGGCUUCCCAGUAAUUGGUGACAUUGGCUAAUCACCUGUGAUUUCACAGGUGCCGCUGCCCCGUGGCAAACUCACUGCUGGGGUCUGCCACAAUAGUCACCUCAGCAAGCAGAAGCUCUGACCUCAAGGGCACUGACUAUGUUGGCAGCAGCUUAGCCGGUGGCGAUUGGAAGCCAAAGCAGAGGGUUCAGGGUGGGCCGGCUGGUUAAUGGGGGAUCCAGCCUGCUGCUUCCCCAGCCCUGGCAACAGCAGAGCUGUGUAGGGGACAGGGGACCAGUAUCCCAGCGUUGCCAUGACAGUGGAAGCCAGAGGCACUGGCCAUACCUGCGGGGCAUGACCAAUGGCUGCAGUCACUCUCCUUGCCCUGCUGGGCUGCUCCAUGUCUGUGUCAUUUCCCUGAUUCCAUCUAUCCAUCAUACCCCAUGGCAGGAGGCCUGGCAGAGUGAUAACAGAUGGCCAGUGGAUGCCUGUCAGAUACACACCCUGGGGCUGGGGGAGCUAGGAGCUCCUGGGGCUGGGUAUUGAGCAAACUGAUCCUGAGCCCAUUUGCUGUUGUGUGUUCACAGCCAAGCUCCCCCUCCCUUGGCAGCAGGCAGGGGCUCCCACGGGGAUGCUUUCUGCACCCACUGCUCCCUGAUUUGCCAGCUGUGCUGAGGAACUGCCUUGCUGCCCUAUCUCCUGCUGCAGCUGAGACUGGAACCACCUCCUGUGCUAUGUGCCAGGCCUUAUCUCCAGGGGCCAAUUGUUUCCCCAUCCCUGACCAGCACACGGGGGCGUUCCUCUGCCUGCAGAUCACCCCCUGUGCAAAGUGGAGCUUGGCUGCCCCAUCGCACUGACCCACAACACACAUGCAGGAGAGGAGCAGACUGGCUUGUGACAUUAUUGACAUGAACUGGGACCGUGUAGAUCAUUGUUGCAACCAAGGUCCUGUAGUGGCACCAAAUCUUGUAUAAAGGGGGUCAAAUAAGGUGUCUAAGACCUGCUUAUGGUUUGCUGGUUAUGAUUAUGCUAGCUGUAUGCAUGUAUCAUUUUUGUAUUUAAAGUUAUAAGUAUUGGCUGGCUCUAUACUGUCUGUAUUUCAAACUUAUGCUAUGCUUCUGAGUGACAUCCCAGAGAAGUUGGUGUCAGCUCUGCCUAGCCUGCUUGAUGGCCCAUUAAGGACCAUCAGCUAUACAACUGACCCAUUGAGAGAAGGCAGACACCUUGUGACUCAGCAAGGUAUGUAAGGACCUGCCUAUGGACAGAACUCUAAGGUUUUUCUAUGCCAUGUGCUGGAUAGCCAUCUUUGGGACAAAGAAAGCAAAGACCACAUGGCAAGGGACUAUAAAUUCUUGAUGCCUCAUCUCCAUCUGGUCUUCAAUCCUGCUUCUUACCUCUAGAGGGACUUUGCUACAAACGGAAGCUCUACACAAAGGACUGAUGACCCAUCCCAGCUGGGGAUGUACUCCAGAGACUUGAUUUGAACCUAAAGUUUAUUCUAUCACUGCUACAAGCCUGAACCAAGAACUUUUCCAUUGCUGUAUGUAAUUGAUUCCAUUUAACCAAUUCUAGCUCUUAUCUAUAUCUUUUUCCUUUUAUGAAUAAACCUUUAGAUUUUAGAUUCUAAAGGAUUGGUAACAGCAUGA